rnacentral:rRNA from 1 species
UACGUAGGCAGCGAGCGUUGUUCGGAGUUACUGGGCGUAAAGGGGGUGUAGGCGGUUGUUUAAGUUUGGUGUGAAAUCUCCCGGCUCAACUGGGAGGGUGCGCCGAAUACUGAAUGACUUGGAGUGCGGGAGAGGUGAGUGGAAUUCCUGGUGUAGCGGUGAAAUGCGUAGAUAUCUGGAGGAACACCGGUGGCGAAGGCGGCAUCCUGGACCGGCAUUGACGCUGAGGAGCGAAAGCCAGGGGAGCAAACGGG